CAGAGCCGCUGUUGGGAUACCACCCUUGUGUGAUUGGAUUUCUAACCUGCAGCCGUGACCCGGCUGGGGGACAAUGUCAGGCGGGGAGUUUGACUGGGGCGGUCGCCUCCGAAAGGGUAUCGGAGGCGCUCAAAGGUUCCCUCAGAAUGGUUGGAAACCAUUCGAAGAGUGCAAAGGCAUAAGGGAGCUUGACUGCGAGACCGACGGGUCGAGCAGGUACGAAAGUAGGACUUAGUGAUCCGGUGGUAUAAAGUGGGAUUGCCAUCGCUCAACGGAUAAAAGCUACCCUGGGGAUAACAGGCUUAUCACUCCCAAGAGUUCACAUCGACGGAGUGGUUUGGCACCUCGAUGUCGGCUCAUCGCAUCCUGGGGCUGAAGUAGGUCCCAAGGGUUGGGCUGUUCGCCCAUUAAAGCGGUACGCGAGCUGGGUUCAGAACGUCGUGAGACAGUUCGGUCCCUAUCCGGCGUGGGCGUAAGAUAUUUGAGAGGAGCUGUCCUUAGUACGAGAGGACCGGGAUGGACUGACCGCUGGUGUAUCUGUUA
rnacentral:rRNA from 1 species